ensembl:lncRNA
AGACCAGACAGGACUGUCUAGAAAGAGGAGCAGACCUGGUGAUCAUAAACAGCAGAGAGGAACAGGUGAGAGAGAGAGAGAGAGAGAGAGAGAGAGAGAGAGAGAGAGAGAGAGAGAGAGAGAGAGGAGAGCAGACAGGACUGUCUAGAAAGAGGAGCAGACCUGGUGAUCAUAAACAGCAGAGAGGAACAGGUGUGAGAGAGAGAGAGAGAGAGAGAAGAGAGGAGAGAGGAGAGCAGACAGGACUGUCUAGAAAGAGGAGCAGACCUGGUGAUCAUAAACAGCAGAGAGGAACAGACAUUUGUCUUCAACCUCCACCUGAGAGCCUGGAUUGGUCUGACUGACUGUUACUGAGGGGAUCUGGAAGUGGGUGGACGGCACAACACUGACCACAGGGUACUGGAGCGCAGGACAGCCUGAUGAUAAUGGGAAAGAGGACUGUGUUGAGAUAUACUAUGGACAAGAUGACCCUGUAAAGACAUGGAAUGAUGAAAAUUGUCACAAAUAUCAUGACUGGAUAUGUGAGAAAGUGGUAUAACGAUAAUCCACAGUAACAAACAUUCUCUCUCUCUGUCUCUCUCUCUCUCUCUCUCUCUCUCUCAAUUCAAGGCCUUUAUUGUCAUGGGAAACAUAUGUUAACAUUGCCAAUGCAAGUGAAGUAGAUAAUAUACAGAAGUGAAAUAAACAAUAAAAAUGAACAGUAAACAUUACACUCACAGAGGUUCCAAAAGAAUAAAGACAUGUCAAACGGCGCCCCACAUCAAAAUAUUUUUCAACCAGCACAGACUUUGUAAAAUCACAAAUAUCGGUUAAAUAUUAACUUACUUUUUAAAAAUCUUCCUCUGAUUUGCAAUCCAAAGGGUCCCAACUACAACAUGUAUGGUCGUUAUGCAAGAUAAAAUCCUUCUUUAUAUCCCAAAAAGUCAGUUUAGUUGGAACCAUCGAUUUGAGUAAUCCACUCGUUCAACAUGCAGAGAAAGGAAUCCUAAAAGCUACGGCUAAACUUUGUUAAAACAAGUCCAAAUACGUUUCUAUUGAAUCCUCAGAUACCCUAAAAUGUAAUUCAACUAUAACAUUUCAUACGGAAAGUAGUAUGUUCAAUAGAAAAGCUAAAUUAGCAGGUGCGCGUCUUCUUCGUCACGCACCAGUCUGAUUUCCAACUCUGACUCCCAGUACUAAAACUCAAAAGUCUUCCUUGUUUGGGAAAAAACAAAACUGAAACCUUGAACAACGACUGUUGAUAUCUAGUGGAAGCCAUAGGAAUUGCAAUCUAUGAGCUGGAUUUGUAUACGACCCUAUUACCUUCCAUUGUAAGAGCAUGGGCUCUCAAAAAAAAAAUACAUUCUGUUUGGAUUUUCUUUGGAUUUUCUCCUACCAUAUCUAUUGUGUUAUAGUCUCAUACAUUAUUUUAACAUUUCUCCAAACUUCAAAGGGUUCUCCAUCCAAUGGUACCACUUAUAUGCUUAUCCUGGCUUCUGGGCCGGAGUAACAGGCAGUUUACUUUGGGCACGUCAGUCAGGCGGAAAUUCAGAAAAAAAGACCCUAGCCUGAAGAAGUGAUGAUUCCACCUUCUGGUUAAAGUGAGAGAUGAACUCAACAUAGAGGUGAAAUUGAGACUCUGUCUCAAAACACAUUGGAGAACAGAAUCCAGGGGGACUGACCUUGGACCUUCUCUAAUAGGGUUGAAAGGAGGAGAGGAGGUAGGAGAGGAAUCUAGGAAAAAAUAAUUGAGAUAUAGCCUUAGUGUCAGAGAGAGACAUAGAGGAGGAAGAAAAUUAAGAGUGAGGAAGAGAGCAAAAAUAAUAUGAAUAAUUGUUGUGUUUAGAUUAAGAGGAGAGUAUGUAGACAUACUGUACUCUGUAAAAUGAUUCUUCAUUGGUUUUAUUAGAAACAUGUCAUGUGAUUUGCCAUAGACUUAUGCUUAGUAAAAAAAAGUGGAACCAAUUAUGAACCAAUGCUUAUCACUUUAGUGAUAUGAAUAGCCAAGUCACUUUUGAAUAAAAAAAGGAACAAUUGUC